AUCCAUCUGACGAGUUCCAAAUAGGAUGAAACACGCAUCCUGGAU
rnacentral:hammerhead_ribozyme from 1 species